CAAAGAUAGAAUGACGCUUGCGGCGUUGCAAGCGUUAAGUGGACUAAACCAACCAACCAAACGUGGUCACGAAACGAAAAAACGCCUCUUAAUGCAUAAGAAUUGGCAGUAUCACAAAAUUCGACGGAAGCUGACUCUUACUGUGAAUUCUUGUACUUCCAAUAAACGUAACUCAUCAAACAAGUGACUUAAUGCACGUGGUAUAAUUCCAGCUGAUGUGUCCUUUUGGCCAUAAGCAAAUACUGUACAAUUGUAUCCAGCCAAAACUUCUUCAAGCAAUGGAUUAACGACUGCAUCGUAUACAUCUAUCUAUAAAUUUUACAUACAUACAUUAUUUAUUCCAAUUAUAAAUAUCCCUCAAAAAAAUAUAUAUAUAUUAUUCAAAAUAGAAGUUUCUAAUUUUUGCAAAGCAAAAAAAUUUUAUAUUUGUGUAUACCUGU